AAAGUCAUGAGCACGAGCUGAUCUUUGACUCGAACCUGGACAUCGUUUUGUACACGAAGUCAAGCUGCUGUACCCGUGAUUCCAUGUAUCGAGUCAACGAUCGCCUUUAAAAAUGUGCUUCUU
rnacentral:precursor_RNA from 14 species